GACGAACGCUGGCGGCGUGCUUAACACAUGCAAGUCGAACGGAAAGGCCUUUUCGGAGGUACUCGAGUGGCGAACGGGUGAGUAACACGUGGGUGAUCUGCCCUGCACUCUGGGAUAAGCCUGGGAAACUGGGUCUAAUACCGGAUAGGACCGCACUUUAGUGUGUGUGGUGGAAAGUUUUUUCGGUGUAGGAUGAGCCCGCGGCCUAUCAGCUUGUUGGUGGGGUAAUGGCCUACCAAGGCGGCGACGGGUAGCCGGACUGGGAGGUUGGUCGGCCACAUUGGGACUGAGAUACGGCCCAGACUCCUACGGGAGGCAGCAGUGGGGAAUAUUGCACAAUGGGCGCAAGCCUGAUGCAGCGACGCCGCGGGGGGGAUGACGGCCUUCGGGUUGUAAACUCCUUUCGCCAGGGACGAAGCGUUUUGUGACGGUACCUGGAGAAGAAGCACCGGCUAACUACGUG
rnacentral:rRNA from 1 species